GAUGAACGCUGGCGGCGUGCUUAACACAUGCAAGUCGAACGAUGAAGCCCAGCUUGCUGGGUGGAUUAGUGGCGAACGGGUGAGUAACACGUGAGUAACCUGCCCUUAACUCUGGGAUAAGCCUGGGAAACUGGGUCUAAUACCGGAUAGGAGCGUCCACCGCAUGGUGGGUGUUGGAAAGAUUUAUCGGUUUUGGAUGGACUCGCGGCCUAUCAGCUUGUUGGUGAGGUAAUGGCUCACCAAGGCGACGACGGGUAGCCGGCCUGAGAGGGUGACCGGCCACACUGGGACUGAGACACGGCCCAGACUCCUACGGGAGGCAGCAGUGGGGAAUAUUGCACAAUGGGCGCAAGCCUGAUGCAGCGACGCCGCGUGAGGGAUGACGGCCUUCGGGUUGUUAAACCUCUUUCAGUAGGGAAGAAGCGAAAGUAACGGUACCUGCAGAAGAAGCACCGGCUAACUACGUG
rnacentral:rRNA from 1 species